GGGGUCGACAUUGGAUUUGACAGCGAUAGCGGUAGUCAAGUGUCAGCAUGCAGAGGGUUGUGGUGAACCUCUUAAAUAUCUUGUCACAAACAAUAAUUGACAAUACGUCAUACGCACUUGCUGCUUAAUUAGCUGAAUGUUAAUUGGCUUAAUCUUUCUGAAGUUUAGUAGGUUAGACAAGUACUUCCGAUAAACUGCUGCUCAUUCGGUUUAUCAUACGGAGGUUCAUCCCAUUGGGCUAGUGAAUGCGAGGUUACUAAGCAUUUGCGAAAUUCCAGUAGCUAAGUUGUAGGUUUGGGUGUUCUUGUCCGUCCUGCAAUCGAAAACCAAUCGAGAAAUAAGCAUGUAGAAAGCUUGAAAACUCGUCGUUUGGACGAGGGUUCGAACCCCUCCGACUCCACAA
rnacentral:tmRNA from 1 species